AUAGUGCUUUCAAAUCUGCUUGUGUGAGUAAGUGCUACUCAACGUGAGUAAGACUAGCAGACUCUAAAUGCUGGGUCUAAAUUAACCAUAGUGUCCAUUUAACAAUACUAUAUAACAUUAUUAGAAAUAGCUCAUGUGCAUCUGCAAUUCCUGACUAGCUUUGGCGAUCCAAAGGGAGAACUUCUUACAUUACAUUGUAUGUUUGCUAACUAAAAUGCUAGCAAAUCCAGUCUCCAAUUUGGGAUAGCUCCUUUCCAAAUUUAGCUUGCAAAAGAUGAGUGGUUUUCAGACAUUUGUGAGAUGGCUGAAAGUCAAACAUGGGUUGAACUGAACUGUACAGUUGGUGGAAUAUAACAUACCGUAUGCAGUCAGCUGCCUAGAAGGGCAAACACCACUUCAAGACAAGAUUGCAGUUACAUGAUGACAAAGCUAUGCUGUGCAGUGAGUUAUAAUCAAUUUGUCCUGGCUGAGUCUGCCCCUUGUGGACGGUCACCAGUCUGCGGUAGUGAACCUUUGGAUUCCACCUGCUUCCAGCCUACUGGGUUUGUAGAGAGGCCAGGCACUGUCUCUGCUUCCUCCUCUAGACACACUCCCAGGGUGUAGACUGCGUGUCUGAACUCCUUCCUUGGGAUGGGAGACUCCACCGGCCAACUGCUCUCGACCCCAGGAUCAGUGCUGAACCUCCCAAGGCUCUUCAGUUGCUUAUGCAUGUUCCCAUGCAGCACUUCCCUCCUGCCUCUGCCCCAUGGGAUGUCUGGUUUAUAAUUUGAUUCUUCAGGAACAUGUGGCUGUGCAAGGAACUUCUUAAAAAUGCACACUUUACUCUUAGGGCUUGUUUACAAAGGGACAGUCAGGAAAAUUAAUCCGAAUUCAGAUUAAACUAAACCAAAUUAAGGCCACUUUAAUUCUGAACGAGAGUGUUCACACAGGGGUUUAAUGCGGUUUAACUAAUCCACUUUAAAUUCACAUCUUUAGUUAGUUCGGAUUAAUUUCCCGAGUAUCCCAGUGUAAAGAAGCCCUUAGAGAGCACAGGACAUUUACCAAUCUAGCAAAUCAGCAAACAUCUUUAACACAACCCCACUCUUGAAUCCUCACUGCUACUGAGUCCUUGGGAUUUGGACCAUGUCCUUGGGUGAAGGCAAAGCCCCACUUCCCUGGGGGAGGUCUGUUUGAGUGGUGGAAUGGCUCCAUUUCCUUACAGAGCAUGUCAUUUUCAAAGCAGUCUGUGCCACCUUUGUUUGUUUGUUUCUAUACUUCUGCUGGGGAUUUUCCAUGCUCCAAACCCCUAGGAAUUACUGGGGCAGAGUCAUCAAAAGUCAAUGGUUCUGUUGGUAGCAACCUCAUUGUUCUACCAGGGCAGAGGAAGUGAAUGUUAAUGGACCUUGAUAGCCCUGUCACACAGUCUCCAGACAUAGCUGCCAGCUUCCUGCUACAAGAUGGAUGAUCACCUUCACAACGACUGUUACAAGUACCAGUAUUGUUCCUAAAACAGCAUGGAAUUCAUAACUGGACCCCAAACUAUCCCAUAAGCAAAUAAGUUGGUGCUGGACCGGAGGUAACCUGGCCCCUAAGAGUGGUGUUCUUGAAGAUAAAACAGAUUUUGACAGCAAGAUUUUCUCUGACAAGUGUCAUGUAGACAAGGAAUUUGGGUUCUUGGAGGCUCCACUGAAUGCAAUUUGAUCCUGCUCCUGUAGUGACCGAGGCCACAGACAGGAAAGAGAAGACAGUGUUGGGGCUGACGCUGCUACUUCUAACUGCGAAAGGAGC